rnacentral:rRNA from 1 species
AGUGAACGCUGGCGGUAGGCCUAACACAUGCAAGUCGAACGGCAGCACAGUAAGAGCUUGCUCUUACGGGUGGCGAGUGGCGGACGGGUGAGGAAUACAUCGGAAUCUACUUUUUCGUGGGGGAUAACGUAGGGGAAACUUACGCUAAUACCGCAUACGACCUACGGGUGAAAGCAGGGGAUCUUCGGACCUUGCGCGAUUGAAUGAGCCGAUGUCGGAUUAGCUAGUUGGCGGGGUAAAGGCCCACCAAGGCGACGAUCCGUAGCUGGUCUGAGAGGAUGAUCAGCCACACUGGAACUGAGACACGGUCCAGACUCCUACGGGAGGCAGCAGUGGGGAAUAUUUGACAAUGGGCGCAAGCCUGAUCCAGCCAUACCGCGUGGGUGAAGAAGGCCUUCGGGUUGUAAAGCCCUUUUGUUGGGAAAGAAAAGCAGCAGGUUAAUACCCCGCUGUUCUGACGGUACCCAAAGAAUAAGCACCGGCUAACUUCGUG